rnacentral:rRNA from 1 species
CCUACGGUGGUCUGCAGUGGGGAAUAUUGGACAAUGGGCGAAAGCCUGAUCCAGCCAUGCCGCGUGUGUGAAGAAGGCCUUCGGGUUGUAAAGCACUUUCAGUGGGGAAGAAAGCCUUGGGGCUAAUACCCUCGAGGAAGGACAUCACCCACAGAAGAAGCACCGGCUAACUCCGUGCCAGCAGCCGCGGUAAUACGGAGGGUGCGAGCGUUAAUCGGAAUUACUGGGCAUAAAGCGCGCGUAGGCGGUCUGAUAAGCCGGUUGUGAAAGCCCCGGGCUCAACCUGGGAACGGCAUCCGGAACUGUCAGGCUAGAGUGCAGGAGAGGAAGGUAGAAUUCCCGGUGUAGCGGUGAAAUGCGUAGAGAUCGGGAGGAAUACCAGUGGCGAAGGCGGCCUUCUGGACUGACACUGACGCUGAGGUGCGAAAGCGUGGGUAGCAAACAGGAUUAGAUACCCCUGUAGU